GACGAACGUUGGCGGCGUGCUUAAUACAUGCAAGUCAACUGAGGCAGUGGUAGCAAUCUCGCUGUGGAGGUGGCGCACGGGUGAGUAACACGUAGGUAAUCUGCCUUCAGGUCUGGCAUAACUCCGGGAAACCGGGGCUAAUAGCAGAUGAUGCAGCGGCUCGACAUCGAGACAGUUGUUAAAGCUAUGGCGCCUGAAGAUGAGCCUGCGUCUGAUUAGCUAGUUGGCGGGGUAACGGCCCACCAAGGCAACGAUCAGUAGCUGGUCUGAGAGGAUGAUCAGCCACACUGGAACUGAGACACGGUCCAGACUCCUACGGGAGGCAGCAGUAAGGAAUAUUGCUCAAUGGGAGAAAUCCUGAAGCAGCAACGCCGCGUGAGGGACGAAGGGCUUUUGCUUGUAAACCUCUGUAGUGAGAGAAAAAAAUCCCAAUCUUUGGGACAUGAUGGUAUCUCAAAAGUAAGCCCCGGCUAACUACGUG
rnacentral:rRNA from 1 species